UUUAACAAAAACGGAAAAGGUGUAGGGAACGCAAGUGAAAAGCUGCGGCAGCCCGCUCUACUGUGAUGAUUAUGCUCCGGUCAGUAUGCCAUUGGGAAACUGAGAAGGCGACGGGAGUGAAAGGUCUAAGCCAGGAAACCUGCCUUUUCUAAGGAAAUGCG
rnacentral:ncRNA from 2 species